AGUGAACGCUGGCGGUAGGCCUAACACAUGCAAGUCGAACGGCAGCACAGUAAGAGCUUGCUCUUACGGGUGGCGAGUGGCGGACGGGUGAGGAAUACAUCGGAAUCUACUUUUUCGUGGGGGAUAACGUAGGGAAACUUACGCUAAUACCGCAUACGACCUACGGGUGAAAGCAGGGGAUCUUCGGACCUUGCGCGAUUGAAUGAGCCGAUGUCGGAUUAGCUAGUUGGCGGGGUAAAGGCCCACCAAGGCGUCGAUCCGUAGCUGGUCUGAGAGGAUGAUCAGCCACACUGGAACUGAGACACGGUCCAGACUCCUACGGGAGGCAGCAGUGGGGAAUAUUGGACAAUGGGCGCAAGCCUGAUCCAGCCAUACCGCGUGGGUGAAGAAGGCCUUCGGGUUGUAAAGCCCUUUUGUUGGGAAAGAAAAGCAGCAGGUUAAUACCCCGCUGUUCUGACGGUACCCAAAGAAUAAGCACCGGCUAACUUCGU
rnacentral:rRNA from 1 species